CCUACGGGAGGCAGCAGUGGGGAAUAUUGGACAAUGGGGGCAACCCUGAUCCAGCCAUGCCGCGUGUGUGAAGAAGGCCCUCGGGUUGUAAAGCACUUUCAGUGAGGAAGAACGCCUGGUGGUUAAUACCCAUCAGGAACGACAUCACUCACAGAAGAAGCACCGGCUAACUCCGUGCCAGCAGCCGCGGUAAUACGGAGGGUGCGAGCGUUAAUCGGAAUUACUGGGCGUAAAGCGCGCGUAGGUGGCUUGAUAAGCCGGUUGUGAAAGCCCCGGGCUCAACCUGGGAACGGCAUCCGGAACUGUCAAGCUAGAGUGCAGGAGAGGAAGGUAGAAUUCCCGGUGUAGCGGUGAAAUGCGUAGAGAUCGGGAGGAAUACCAGUGGCGAAGGCGGCCUUCUGGACUGACACUGACACUGAGGUGCGAAAGCGUGGGUAGCAAACAGGAUUAGAUACCCUAGUAGUC
rnacentral:rRNA from 1 species